CCUGGAUCUUACAACCCGACUGCAUGCUAAUUAUGCCUAUAAACACAGUUUACCUGUCUUUGGGGAGCCAGAGGUGUCAUUGCAUAUAUUAGAGUCACACAGGCAGCCUCGAUCACAAAUGCAAAGAAGAGGUUCCAGAUAACUGUCUGAAUGAUGCCAUCUUGCAAGAAUCAAAGAAAAAGAAAAAAACAAGGUCCAAAUGUGGCACAACCAGUCAGGAAUGUAUGAUUUGGCCUCGAGGAAAGAAAAGAGCAUUUGGAAGUGGCGGAAUCCACAGGAGCCGAGGCAAUGGUACCCACUUGACACCUGUGGUCUGAUCAGCUGAUUUCUGGGCUUAUCUGGUGUGUGUCUCAGUGGGCAGAACAACUUGAAUAAAACCUACAGUUAGCAAAGAGGCUAUGAGAGACUAGGAAGAAAAACCAGAACUGUUGUUCUCAACCACUUGUUUUUUUCAGUCAUGGAUUCCUGUAAGAACCUGAUCAAAGCUAUGGACUCUCUUCCAGAAAAGAAAAGAAUGAAUGAAAAGAGAAGAUACAUGUUGCAUGGGCAACUUUCACACAAAUUUCAAGGGAGAAAUCACUGAUGUCCUGAAGCUCAUCCAGGAUACAAAUGAAAUCAGUAGUGCUUCCACCAUUUCCCUCAGGCCCUUUGUUAGCUGUGAAUUGUUUCUUUUUGCGUGAUCCAGGGUCCAGAUGGCAUUGGCUCUCAGCUGAGUCAGUGGCCCUGGGAUGCUGUGUCAGGCGGGAGAUGAGGGCAGGAGGGCACAGACCUUGGGCUCCUCUUCUCUGCCUCCUAAUCAACAGUCCUCACAGCCAGUCUGAAGGCUGUGCCAGCUUGGACUGUCCUCUAGUCAAUGGGGAGAACUCACAUACAAUUUCUAUUCAACGCUCCCAGUACUCCUUUCUGGUGCUAAGGACAUGAUCGGACAAGAAAUCAAGUUCUACUUGAUUCUACUGAAUCAAGUUUCAGUAAAAAUACAAU